rnacentral:lncRNA from 10 species
CUGAGGGCAGUCAGCCCAGACUCUCCUGUUUGUUCAUGUCACCAGCAGGGUGACAUUGUCAACCCCAUGGAAUGACUGAGCAAUAGCGAUAGGAAUAAGGCUGAGGAAGACAUCUGGAGGUAUUGACAGGGAUUUGCAUGGGAGGUGCAGGAGCUGGGGCUAUCCCCUGCUGUUUUGGAUAGGCUUCUUGGUAAGAUUAAGAGGAGUG